AGUUACAGCUCACCAGCCUCCACCAAUUGUGCAAUAUUACUACUCCUUCGCCCAAUUCCGACCCCACCUUCAAAAAUUCAUCCUCCCAAUCCAAAUAAUUUUUCCAAAAAUUAAUCAUCGGAAAACCCUAAACCGGCCGGCCAUGGGAGACUCUCAUCGGCAUUCUUCUUCAGUCCAUCAAGCUCUUGGCUGUGGUUCUGUUGCUGAUGUGUUGAUGUGGAGGAGAUGGGGUACAAGCGUUGCCGUGCUUGUGGGUUCAACCACUCUUUGGUUCCUUUUCGAACGGGCGGGUUAUAAUCUUUUAACCUUCAUUUCCAAUGUCAUCUUGCUUCUCGUUGUAAUACUCUUCUUCUGGGCUAAAUCUGCAUCGCUUCUUAAUAGACCUCUACCUCCUCUUCCUGAUCUGGUGGUUUCGGAGGAAACUGUGACCAAGGCUGCUGAUGUUACGAGAGGGUGGAUUAACAAUGUGCUGUUGAUUGCACGUGACAUUGCUAUUGGUGGGAACUUGAAGCUCUUUGUUCAGGUUGCUGCAGGAUUGUGGCUGGUGUCAUACAUUGGCAGCUUUUUCAACUUUCUUUCUUUGCUAUACAUUGGGGUUCUUCUUAGUCUCUCGCUACCUUUUCUGUAUGACAAGUACCAAGAUCAAAUCGAUACCAAGUUGGUGGUGGCUUAUGAUUCUGUUCAGGUGCAGUACAGAAAGCUUGAUCAUAAAUUGUUGAGAAAGAUUCCAGGCAUGCUGAACAAGGAAAAAAAGACACAAUAGAAUAGACUUGGUAUGAAGUUGGCGGCUAUUCUGGGAUAAUGAUUUCCUAGAUGCAAAUGUUGUUUUACUCUUACUUGGGCCAUUUUGCUGGGCACUUAUAGCGUGGGUGUUUACUUGCCAUUAGGGGUAUUAACAUGAAGACUGGAUAGACCAAUAUUGUCUUAAGCGGCUCCUGAUAAAAGCUAAUCUUGUAUUUUUCACACUUACUGUAACCAAUUCCUGAUAACUGUGGGUGAUACAACAUAGUGUGGCUUUGAUGCACUUGCUUCUUCCACCGGAUAAAAAAUUCUCUGGCGAUUUUGGUUUUGGUUGUGCAAAUGAGUGUUUUGAAGGGUUAUGCCCAUUUAGAUGUACCUGGAUUCCCAUUAGGAAAACUAUCAACCCAUCAGCUUGAAAGAUCCCAUUGGAGGAGGCUUCCCUUAAAGCUUGGAUCUACCUAUUGUGAUUGUAAACAUUAAUUUCUCUUGUUAAUCCAUAUUGUUAUGAACAUUCCGCCGAGUGUUCAACCAAAUAUGAUUGAUGUGCAUAAGCAGAUAAGGAAAAAUUUGUCCUAGAGUUGAACCA